rnacentral:tmRNA from 1 species
GGGGACGCAUUGGCUUCGAUUAUCGUAUUGGUUGUUUGAAAAGCAUGCACGGUAGCCUCCAUCCAAAAGGCAAUCUGUAUAACUGCAGAAAACGAAACUUACGCUCUCGCAGCUUAAUCGCUCGGAGCACUGGUAAUGGCCUGAGUCUGCGGAAGCUAUUACCUUAAACCUACAGCAGAAUAGCCUUGGCGCACGCGGCGUGCGUUAGGGCGAAGUUAAGCCGCUAUGUGGAAUUAUUGCCUGUCGGUGGGCGGUGUUCCAAUGAAAAACAAUUACCGACUAAGCAUGUAGAAAGCGAAUGAUUGAGCGGUAAGACGCGGGUUCGACUCCCGCCGUCUCCAUAG